AUUGAACGCUGGCGGCAUGCUUUACACAUGCAAGUCGAACGGUAACAGGGAGCUUGCUCCGCUGACGAGUGGCGAACGGGUGAGUAAUAUAUCGGAACGUACCCAAGAGUGGGGGAUAACGUAGCGAAAGUUACGCUAAUACCGCAUACGAUCUAUGGAUGAAAGCAGGGGACCUUCGGGCCUUGUGCUCCUGGAGCGGCCGAUAUCUGAUUAGCUAGUUGGUGAGGUAAAGGCUCACCAAGGCGACGAUCAGUAGCUGGUCUGAGAGGACGACCAGCCAAACUGGAACUGAGACACGGUCCAGAGUCCUACGGGAGGCAGCAGUGGGGAAUUUUGGACAAUGGGCGCAAGCCUGAUCCAGCAAUGCCGCGUGAGUGAAGAAGGCCUUCGGGUUGUAAAGCUCUUUUGUCAGGGAAGAAACGGCUGUGGCUAAUAUCCACGGCUAAUGACGGUACCUGAAGAAUAAGCACCGGCUAACUACGUGCCAGCCGCCGCAGUAA
rnacentral:rRNA from 1 species